rnacentral:tRNA from 1 species
GGCUUGAUAGCUCAGUUGGUAGAGCACUGCACCGGUAUCGCAGAGUUCAUGAGUUCGAGUCCCGUUCAAGCUU